UGCCGGUGACAAACCGGAGGGAAGUGGGGAUGAACGUCAAGUCAUCCAUGGCCCUUACGGCCUGGGCUACACACGUGCUACAAUAGGGUCGGUACAAAGGGUUGCCAAGCCGCGAGGUGGAGCUAAUCCCAAUAAAACCGAUCGUAGUCCGGAUCGCAGUCUGCAACUCGACUGCGUGAAGUCGGAAUCGCUAGUAAUCGUGAAUCAGAAUGUCACGGUGAAUACGUUCCCGGGCCUU
rnacentral:rRNA from 1 species